rnacentral:misc_RNA from 1 species
GAUGAAGAACGUAGCAAAAUGCGAUAAGUAAUGUGAAUUGCAGAAUUCAGUGAAUCAUCGAAUCUUUGAACGCACAUUGCGCCCGCCAGUAUUCUGGCGGGCAUGCCUGUUCGAGCGUCAUUUCAACCCUCAAGCACAGCUUGGUGUUGGGACUCGCGUUAAUUCGCGUUCCCCAAAUUGAUUGGCGGUCACGUCGAGCUUCCAUAGCGUAGUAGUAAAACCCUCGUUACUGGUAAUCGUCGCGGCCACGCCGUUAAACCCCAACUUCUGAAUGUUGACCUCGGAUCAUGUAGGAAUACCCGCUGAACUUAAGCAUAUCAAUAGCGGAGGA